CUCUGCCCCCUGCCUUCUCUGCAGGAAUGCUGGCUGAUGGCCCCUGCCUCAUCUCCAGGCCCCCAUGUCUUCAAGAUGCUUGUUUACCCAGUUGCCACAGCCUCCCCAGGAACUCGUGGGAGCAAGCUCUGCAUGGCUGACAGCCCCAUUUAGAAGAGGGCGCUGUGGAAUGAAUGGUCCCCCCUGCAGCUCAGCCUCAUCUCCUUAAUGGAUCCUAAUUACCCCUGUCCUGCUUAUAGCUUCUCUCCAGGACCCACUUGUCAGGAUGAUGGAUGAGGUGACUGGGAGGUGGGGCCAGCUGGGACUGGAGGAAUCCCCCCACUGUCUAGUAGGGCGGGGACGCAGGAACUUUCAGUCAGUCCCAAAGAUUCUGAGGAAGAGAAGACAACAUUGCAGGAUGAGCUCUUCUCCCCUUUUGUCCCCAAAACUUGGGCCAGAUUAAUCAGAUAAGGGAGAAGGAAUACCAGGGUUCUGCUUUUAAGUCACAUCUACUCAGAACAAAGGAGUGAAACCUUCCCCUCCUCUGCUACGAAUAUAGUCUCACAUGCUCUAGGAAUUAA
rnacentral:lncRNA from 1 species